UUAUUUGAGAGUUUGAUCCUGGCUCAGGAUGAACGCUGGCGGCGUGCCUAACACAUGCAAGUUGAGCGAUUUACUUCGGUAAAGAGCGGCGGACGGGUGAGUAACGCGUGGGUAACCUACCCUGUACACACGGAUAACAUACCGAAAGGUAUGCUAAUACGGGAUAAUAUAUUUGAGAGGCAUCUCUUGAAUAUCAAAGGUGAGCCAGUACAGGAUGGACCCGCGUCUGAUUAGCUAGUUGGUAAGGUAACGGCUUACCAAGGCGACGAUCAGUAGCCGACCUGAGAGGGUGAUCGGCCACAUUGGAACUGAGACACGGUCCAAACUCCUACGGGAGGCAGCAGUGGGGAAUAUUGCACAAUGGGCGAAAGCCUGAUGCAGCAACGCCGCGUGAGUGAUGAAGGCCUUCGGGUCGUAAAACUCUGUCCUCAAGGAAGAUAAUGACGGUACUUGAGGAGGAAGCCCCGGCUAACUACGUGCCAGCAGCCGCGGUAAUACGUAGGGGGCUAGCGUUAUCCGGAUUUACUGGGCGUAAAGGGUGCGUAGGCGGUCUUUCAAGUCAGGAGUGAAAGGCUACGGCUCAACCGUAGUAAGCUCUUGAAACUGGGAGACUUGAGUGCAGGAGAGGAGAGUGGAAUUCCUAGUGUAGCGGUGAAAUGCGUAGAUAUUAGGAGGAACACCAGUUGCGAAGGCGGCUCUCUGGACUGUAACUGACGCUGAGGCACGAAAGCGUGGGGAGCAAACAGGAUUAGAUACCCUGGUAGUCCACGCUGUAAACGAUGAGUACUAGGUGUCGGGGGUUACCCC
rnacentral:rRNA from 1 species